CCAAGGGUUCCUGUCCAACGUUAAUCGGGGCAGGGUGAGUCGACCCCUAAGGCGAGGCCGAAAGGCGUAGUCGAUGGGAAACAGGUUAAUAUUCCUGUACUUGGUGUUACUGCGAAGGGGGGACGGAGAAGGCUAUGUUGGCCGGGCGACGGUUGUCCCGGUUUAAGCGUGUAGGCUGGUUUUCCAGGCAAAUCCGGAAAAUCAAGGCUGAGGCGUGAUGACGAGGCACUACGGUGCUGAAGCAACAAAUGCCCUGCUUCCAGGAAAAGCCUCUAAGCAUCAGGUAACAUCAAAUCGUACCCCAAACCGACACAGGUGGUCAGGUAGAGAAUACCAAGGCGCUUGAGAGAACUCGGGUGAAGGAACUAGGCAAAAUGGUGCCGUAACUUCGGGAGAA
rnacentral:rRNA from 1 species